rnacentral:misc_RNA from 1 species
AAGAGUAUUGGGUCCCCCGGGGCCCGCACUCCAACCCUCUGCUUACGAAAACGCAGUUGCUUCGGCGGGCCAGACCGAACCCCUCACGGGGCUCGCCGGCGGCUUCGGCUGUCGAGCGCCCGCCGGAGGACACCCGAAACUCUGUUUUAACCGGUGUACGUCUGAGCGAAUUUCUAAUGAAAUCA